rnacentral:rRNA from 1 species
ACUCCUACGGGAGGCAGCAGUAGGGAAUAUUGGACAAUGGGCGAAAGCCUGAUCCAGCAAUGCCGCGUGAGUGAUGAAGGCCUAUGGGUCGUAAAGCUCUGUCGUAUAGGAAUAAAUGCCUGUGGUUAAUACCGCAGGAGCUGAAGGUACUAUACAAGAAAGCACCGGCUAACUACGUGCCAGCAGCCGCGGUAAUACGUAGGGUGCUAGCGUUGUUCGGAAUUACUGGGCGUAAAGCGCAUGUAGGCGGGAGGCUAAGUCAGAUGUGAAAGCCCUGGCUCAAGCCUGGGACGUGCAUCUGAUACUGGUCUUGCUU